rnacentral:rRNA from 1 species
UACGAAGGGGGCUAGCGUUGCUCGGAAUUACUGGGCGUAAAGCGCACGUAGGCGGCUUUCUAAGUCGGGGGUGAAAUCCUGGAGCUCAACUCCAGAACUGCCUUCGAUACUGGAGAGCUUGAGUCCGGGAGAGGUGAGUGGAACUGCGAGUGUAGAGGUGAAAUUCGUAGAUAUUCGCAAGAACACCAGUGGCGAAGGCGGCUCACUGGCCCGGUACUGACGCUGAGGUGCGAAAGCUAGGGUAGCAAACGGG